GCAAAUAGUGCAAAACCGAACGGGCUUUCUGGUGUCAAAAAGUGAAGUGCUGAAAAAAAUCACACUCACACCAAGAUAAUGGCAGCUGUCCAUUAGCACCUUCACAGCUAUAAAAACAACACAGCACCAGCCGACCAAUCAGGGAGGUCCUGGAGGAGCUCAGAGUCUGAACAUUUCGUCCUGUUCUGAAACAUCCACCUGCACAUGUGUGUGACAUCCUGAGUCAUCACGAAGCUUCAGAGGUGGACCGCAGGAUAAGGAAGACGCUCAGAGUUUAACCCGACUGAGAGAGAGAGG